rnacentral:rRNA from 1 species
ACACGGCCCAGACUCCUACGGGAGGCAGCAGUGGGAAUAUUGCGCAAUGGGCGGAAGCCUGACGCAGCGACGCCGCGUGGGGGAUGACGGCCUUCGGGUUGUAAACCUCUUUCAGCAGGGACGAAGUUGACGUGUACCUGCAGAAGAAGCGCCGGCUAACUACGUGCCAGCAGCCGCGGUAGUACGUAGGGCGCAAGCGUUGUCCGGAAUUAUUGGGCGUAAAGAGCUCGUAGGUGGCUGGUCGCGUCUGCCGUGAAAGCCCGCAGCUUAACUGCGGGUCUGCGGUGGAUACGGGCCGGCUAGAGGUAGGUAGGGGCAAGUGGAAUUCCUGGUGUAGCGGUGAAAUGCGCAGAUAUCAGGAGGAACACCGGUGGCGAAGGCGGCUUGCUGGGCCUUACCUGACGCUGAGGAGCGAAAGCGUGGGGAGCGAACAGGAUUAGAUACCCUGGUAGUCCACGCUGUAAACGUUGGGCGCUAGGUGUGGGGGUCUUCCACGAUCUCCGUGCCGGAGCUAACGCAUUAAGCGCCCCGCCUGGGAGUACGGCUGCAAGGCUAAAACUCAAAGGAAUUGACGGGGGCCCGCACAAGCGGCGGAGCAUGUUGCUUAAUUCGACGCAACGCGAAGAACCUUACCAAGGUUUGACAUCACCCGGAAACGUCCAGAGAUGGGCGCCUCUUCGGACUGGGUGACAGGUGGUGCAUGGCUGUCGUCAGCUCGUGUCGUGAGAUGUUGGGUUAAGUCCCGCAACGAGCGCAACCCUUGUUCCAUGUUGCCAGCACGCUCCUUCGGGGGUGGUGGGGACUCAUGGGAGACUGCCGGGGUCAACUCGGAGGAAGGUGGGGAUGACGUCAAGUCAUCAUGCCCCUUAUGUCUUGGGCUGCAAACAUGCUACAAUGGCCGGUACAGAGGGCUGCUAAACCGUGAGGUGGAGCGAAUCCCUAAAAGCCGGUCUCAGUUCGGAUUGGGGUCUGCAACUCGACCCCAUGAAGUCGGAGUCGCUAGUAAUCGCAGAUCAGCAACGCUGCGGUGAAUACGUUCCCGGGCCUUGUACACACCGCCCGUCACGUCACGAAAGUCGGCAACACCCGAAGCCCGUGGCCCAACCACCUUGUGUGGGGGGAGCGGUCGAAGGUGGGGCUGGCGAUUGGGACGAAGUCGAAACAAGGUAGCCGUACCGGAAGGUGCGGCUG